rnacentral:rRNA from 1 species
CACGUAGGAGCCAAGCGUUAUCCGAAUUCACUGGGCGUAAAGCGCGUGUAGGCGGCUUGGUAAGUUGGAUGUGAAAGCUCCUGGCUCAACUGGGAGAGGACGUUCAAUACUGUCAGGCUAGAGGACGGCAGAGGGAGGUGGAAUUCCCGGUGUAGUGGUGAAAUGCGUAGAUAUCGGGAGGAACACCAGUGGCGAAGGCGGCCUUCUGGGCCGUACCUGACGCUCAGACGCGAAAGCUAGGGGAG